rnacentral:rRNA from 1 species
GACGAACGCUGGCGGCAUGCCUAAUACAUGCAAGUCGAGCGAAUGAAUGUUGGAGCUUGCUCCUUCAUUCGUUAGCGGCGGAUGGGUGAGUAACACGUGGGCAACCUGCCCUGCAGAUGGGGAUAACUCCGGGAAACCGGAGCUAAUACCGAAUAAUUAAUAUGUUCGCAUGAACAUAUUCUGAAAGACGGUUUCGGCUGUCACUGCAGGAUGGGCCCGCGGCGCAUUAGCUAGUUGGUGGGAUAAUGGCCUACCAAGGCAACGAUGCGUAGCCGACUGAGAGGGUGAUCGGCCACACUGGGACUGAGACACGGCCCAGACUCCUACGGGAGCAGCAGUAGGGAAUCUUCACAAUGACGAAGUCUGAUGGAGCAAUGCCGCGUGAGUGAAGAAGUUUUCGGAUCGUAAAGCUCUGUUGUGAGGGAAGAACAAGUACGGGAGUAACUGUCCGUACCUUGACGGU